rnacentral:rRNA from 1 species
GCGGUAGCGGAGCGUUCUGUAAGCCUGCGAAGGGCGACCCGUGAGGGCGCCUGGAGGUAUCAGAAGUGCGAAUGCUGACAUGAGUAACGAUAAUGCAGGUGAAAAACCUGCACGCCGUAAGCCCAAGGUUUCCUGUUCAACGUUCAUCGGAGCAGGGUGAGUCGGCCCCUAAGGCGAGGCUGAAAAGCGUAGUCGAUGGAAAACAGGUUAAUAUUCCUGUAC